GGGGAUGUCCCGGUUUCGACAGGAUAUGCCUCCAUGCAACUGCAGUGGUCUGGUAGACCAUACUACUUCUAGGUUUGAUAAAAUGCAAACAAAAACGAAGAAAAUUUUGAAAUGCCAGCAUUUAUGUUCAAUAAUGAAUAUGCUGGAGCAGCAAACUUUGCUGUUUAAUAAGUCUUAGAACUGAAAGCAUUCAACGUAUAACUAUAUCGCAAACUUUAUAUGUUAUAUGAAUUACCCAAGUUUGAUAGAAGUUAUGAUCGUAAUAAAUAACUUUGAAUUUAAUUUACGAACGACUUUUUUAACUUUUGUUAGUUUUAGUAAAAUUGUCGAGUUAGAAAACAUAACUAAACUGUAGACGUUGCAUGGUGAAGUAUUUUGGACGCGGGUUCGAUUCCCGCCAUCUCCACCA
rnacentral:tmRNA from 1 species